rnacentral:rRNA from 1 species
GACGAACGCUGGCGGCGUGCCUAACACAUGCAAGUCGAACGGUUGAGAUGUGGGAGGUGAGAGGUUAGAAGUGAGAUUAAGAAGCAAUUCGGCAAGCCGAAUUGCAACAUAUUAAAUCCCACAUCCAACUUCUCACAUCUCACAUCUCAAUAGUGGCGCACGGGUGAGUAACGCGUGGAUAACCUGCCUGAUAGACCGGGAUAACAGCUGGAAACGGCUGCUAAUACCGGAUACGCUUGCGGAGUCGCAUGGCUCUGCAAGGAAAGCUUUCGCGCUAUCAGAUGGAUCCGCGUCCCAUUAGCUAGUUGGUGGUGUAGAGGACCACCAAGGCGACGAUGGGUAGCCGGCCUGAGAGGGCGAUCGGCCACACUGGGACUGAGACACGGCCCAGACUCCUACGGGAGGCAGCAGUGGGGAAUCUUCCGCAAUGGGCGAAAGCCUGACGGAGCAACGCCGCGUGAGGGAAGAAGGCCUUCGGGUUGUAAACCUCUGUUUUCAGGGAAGAAAGAAAUGACGGUACCUGAAGAGUAAGCUCCGGCUAACUACGUGCCAGCAGCCGCGGUAAUACGUAGGGAGCGAGCGUUGUCCGGAUUUACUGGGCGUAAAGGGCGCGUAGGUGGUCCAUUAAGUUAUAGGUGAAAGCCCGGGGCUCAACCCCGUGAUUGCCUGUGAUACUGGUGGACUUGAGUGCAGGAGAGGGGAGCAGAAUUCCCAGUGUAGCGGUGAAAUGCGUAGAUAUUGGGAGGAAUACCAGUGGCGAAGGCGGCUCUCUGGACUGUAACUGACACUGAGGCGCGAAAGCGUGGGUAGCGAACAGGAUUAGAUACCCUGGUAGUCCACGCCGUAAACGAUGAGUGCUAGGUGUUGCGGGUAUCGACCCCUGCAGUGCCGCAGUAAACACAAUAAGCACUCCGCCUGGGGAGUACGGUCGCAAGACUGA